GGCGGGACACGUGGUAUCCUGUCUGAAUAUGGGGGGACCAUCCUCCAAGGCUAAAUACUCCUGACUGACCGAUAGUGAACCAGUACCGUGAGGGAAAGGCGAAAAGAACCCCGGCGAGGGGAGUGAAAAAGAACCUGAAACCGUGUACGUACAAGCAGUGGGAGCACCCUUUGGGGUGUGACUGCGUACCUUUUGUAUAAUGGGUCAGCGACUUAUAUUCUGUAGCAAGGUUAACCGUAUAGGGGAGCCGGAGGGAAACCGAGUCUUAACCGGGCGUUAAGUUGCAGGGUAUAGACCCGAAACCCGGUGAUCUAGCCAUGGGCAGGUUGAAGGUUGGGUAACACUAACUGGAGGACCGAACCGACUAAUGUUGAAAAAUUAGCGGAUGACCUGUGGCUGGGGGUGAAAGGCCAAUCAAACCGGGAGAUAGCUGGUUCUCCCCGAAAGCUAUUUAGGUAGCGCCUCGUGAAUUCAUCUCCGGGGGUAGAGCACUGUUUCGGCUAGGGGGCCAUCCCGGCUUACCAACCCGAUGCAAACUGCGAAUACCGGAGAAUGUUAUCACGGGAGACACACGGCGGGUGCUAACGUCCGUCGUGAAGAGGGAAACAACCCAGACCGCCAGCUAAGGUCCCAAAGUCAUGGUUAAGUGGGAAACGAUGUGGGAAGGCCCAGACAGCCAGGAUGUUGGCUUAGAAGCAGCCAUCAUUUAAAGAAAGCGUAAUAGCUCACUGGUCGAGUCGGCCUGCGCGGAAGAUGUAACGGGGCUAAACCAUGCACCGAAGCUGCGGCAGCGACACUCAGGUGUUGUUGGGUAGGGGAGCGUUCUGUAAGCCUGCGAAGGUGUGUCGUGAGGCAUGCUGGAGGUAUCAGAAGUGCGAAUGCUGACAUAAGUAACGAUAAAGCGGGUGAAAAGCCCGCUCGCCGGAAGACCAAGGGUUCCUGUCCAACGUUAAUCGGGGCAGGGUGAGUCGACCCCUAAGGCGAGGCCGAAAGGCGUAGUCGAUGGGAAACGGGUUAAUAUUCCCGUACUUGGUGUUACUGCGAAGGGGGGACGGAGAAGGCUAUGUUGGCCGGGCGACGGUUGUCCCGGUUUAAGCGUGUAGGUGUGUGUUCCAGGUAAAUCCGGUUCACUUUAACACUGAGGCGUGAUGACGAGGCACUACGGUGCUGAAGCAACAAAUGCCCUGCUUCCAGGAAAAGCCUCUAAGCAUCAGGUAACAUCAAAUCGUACCCCAAACCGACACAGGUGGUCAGGUAGAGAAUACCAAGGCGCUUGAGAGAACUCGGGUGAAGGAACUAGGCAAAAUGGUGCCGUAACUUCGGGAGAAGGCACGCUGACAC
rnacentral:rRNA from 1 species